rnacentral:lncRNA from 1 species
CUCCACCACAUUGGCCCUAAUCAUGAGUAUUUCCAUCUCCUUAUGAUAGUCCUCUACACUUUUCGACCCUUGAUAUAGACCUUGCAGUUUUUUAUGGAUCUCUCGAUAAUAGUGGCUAGGAACAAACCUCUUUCUCAUCAAUGACUUCAAUUCCUCCCAAGUGCUGAUUGGUCUUCCCCCACUCCUACAUUGUGAAGUAAUCAC